rnacentral:rRNA from 1 species
ACGAACGCUGGCGGCAGGCCUAACACAUGCAAGUCGAGCGAGGACUUCGGUUCUAGCGGCGGACGGGUGAGUAACGCGUGGGAAUGUGCCCUUCUCUACGGAAUAGCCCUGGGAAACUGGGAGUAAUACCGUAUACGCCCUAUUGGGGAAAGAUUUAUCGGAGAAGGAUCAGCCCGCGUUGGAUUAGGUAGUUGGUGGGGUAAUGGCUUACCAAGCCGACGAUCCAUAGCUGGUUUGAGAGGAUGAUCAGCCACACUGGGACUGAGACACGGCCCAGACUCCUACGGGAGGCAGCAGUGGGGAAUCUUAGACAAUGGGGGCAACCCUGAUCUAGCCAUGCCGCGUGAGUGAUGAAGGCCUUAGGGUUGUAAAGCUCUUUCAGCUGGGAAGAUAAUGACGGUACCAGCAGAAGAAGCCCCGGCUAACUCCGUG